UACGUAGGGUGCGAGCAUUGUUCGGAAUCACUGGGCGUAAAGGCGCGUAGGCGGCUUUAUAAGUCGGGGGUGAAAGCCUGUGGCUCAACCACAGAAUUGCCUUCGAUACUGUAGAGCUUGAGACCGGAAGAGGUAAGUGGAACUGCGAGUGUAGAGGUGAAAUUCGUAGAUAUUCGCAAGAACACCAGUGGCGAAGGCGGCUUACUGGUCCGGUUCUGACGCUGAGGCGCGAAAGCGUGGGGAGCAAACAGG
rnacentral:rRNA from 1 species